rnacentral:rRNA from 1 species
AACGAACGCUGGCGGCAUGCCUAACACAUGCAAGUCGAACGAUGCCUUCGGGCAUAGUGGCGCACGGGUGCGUAACGCGUGGGAAUCUGCCUUUCGGUUCGGAAUAACUCAGGGAAACUUGAGCUAAUACCGGAUAACGUCGCAAGACCAAAGAUUUAUCAAGGAAAGAUGAGCCCGCGUAGGAUUAGCUAGUUGGUGAGGUAAAGGCUCACCAAGGCGACGAUCCUUAGCUGGUCUGAGAGGAUGAUCAGCCACACUGGGACUGAGACACGGCCCAGACUCCUACGGGAGGCAGGAGUGGGGAAUAUUGGACAACGGGCGAAAGCCUGAUCGAGCAAUGCCGCGUGAGUGAUGAAGGCCUUAGGGUUGUAAAGCUCUUUUACCCGGGAAGAUAAUGACGGUACCGGGAGAAUAAGCCCCGGCUAACUCCGUG